rnacentral:lncRNA from 1 species
CAAUUAUUAAUGUCUUCAAGUUUCCCACUAAGCAAAGCUAGAGAGAGAGAGUGGAAGUAGUUCUGUUUGGCUUCAAGACUUUCGAAACCCUUCCUAUAUAUAAGCUUCAAGUUUCCACAACCAUGCUAUAUCUAACUAGACAAGAGUGGUACUCUCUCUCUCUCUCUCUCUCUCUCUCUCUCAAGGGUGGUGCUGGCGGCUGCUCAGCUUUUGAUCUGUCUUGUAAGUAACCUGCUUAUCCAUUCCUCCUGUUAAUUAGUUUUUGAUCUGUCUCUCAAAACUCCCACACUUAUUCUUUGAUGGUCCGUUGACAAAUUUCAUAUCGAUUCUUGUGAUCUGGCGGCAAAUUUUGACCUAUAGUGUGAAAGUUUGCAUGCAUAUUCUUCAAGAUUUUUGUUUUCCUUGUGUCUGGAUAUUUACCUUAUUAAUUAUUUGUACGGACAUGAUUCAUGCUCUUUUGCUUUUUCACUUCCAUUAUCUGUAUUUGUUUUUAUUGAUCCUCGAGUCCCUCCCUGUGUAAAUCUUGUGCGAUUCAUGGGUAAACAAUGAGUGGAACUUAGUUAUCCAUGUACGUAUCAUCAAAAUAGGAAGCCGAAUAGAAGAAGCAGAGGAACGACUAAACUUGAU